rnacentral:tRNA from 1 species
GCCGCCGUAGCUCAGCUGGCAGAGCAAUCGAUUCGUAAUCGAUAGGUCGGGUGUUCGAAUCACCCCGGCGGCA